rnacentral:rRNA from 1 species
CAAAGGAAUUGACGGGGCCCGCACAAGCGGUGGAGCAUGUGGUUAAUUCGAAGCAACGCGAAGAACCUUACCAGGUCUUGACAUACUCGUGCUAUUCCUAGAGAUAGGAAGUUCCUUCGGGACACGGGAUACAGGUGGUGCAUGGUUGUCGUCAGCUCGUGUCGUGAGAUGUUGGGUUAAGUCCCGCAACGAGCGCAACCCUUAUUGUUAGUUGCCAUCAUUAAGUUGGGCACUCUAGCGAGACUGCCGGUAAUAAACCGGAGGAAGGUGGGGAUGACGUCAAAUCAUCAUGCCCCUUAUGGGUAGGGCUACACACGUCAUACAAUGGCCGGUACAGAGGGCUGCCAACCCGCGAGGGGGAGCCAAUCCCAGAAAACCGGUCGUAGUCCGGAUCGCAGUCUGCAACUCGACUGCGUGAAGUCGGAAUCGCUAGUAAUCGCGGAUCAGCUUGCCGCGGUGAAUACGUUCCCGGGUCUUGUACACACCGCCCGUCACACCAUGGGAGCGGGUUCUGCCAGAAGUAGUUAGCCUAACCGCAAGGAGGGCGAUUACCACGGCAGGGUUCGUGACUGGGGUGAAGUCGUAACAAGGUAGCCGUAUCGGAAGGUGCGGCUGGAUCACCUCCUU